AUCUUAUCGAGAGUAGGUGGAGGGACUGGCCCUAUGAAGCCCGGCAACCGGCAGAAUGCUGCACGGUGCCAAUUCCUGUAGAUGAGAA
rnacentral:ncRNA from 2 species